CCAAAAACUGAGUAGGAUUGGAGUACCUUAUCUAAAAAGGUGAGGUAUGGAACUUGAGGACUGAACAAUUUGGGAUGAGAAAGUUACAAAAGUAAUGAACAAACAAAGAAAAUGGGUGUGUUUAUGUUGUAUCUCCAGGGAGGCAGGGGCAACCAUGGACUUUUUGCUCGAAUAGCUGGAAAGCCAGAAACGAAUAUCUUACACAUUCAGUGGAGGACCUGAGGCCAGUACCACUGAAGGUUGCUGUUGUAAUAUCUAAAAGAUCCACUUACCAGGUCAUAUUAUGGGGAAGAAACCUGUAAUAGAGUUUAGGGGUCACCUGAUACCAAAUCAGACGAGGGGCUGUGUCAAACCUUGGGGGUUUCUGGCAAAACGAAUCCUGUUGGUAACAAGAGCUGAGGCUCUGGCUUUGGUUUGUUCAUGUUACUGGCUUUCCAUUGUGUUAGGUUUCAAAUAGAAAAUGGUUGUGGGAUACAGGGGAUUUGUAGAUGAAUUCUGCCCCAGGGGUUGAGAUAAAUUGUUACAGAUUCUCAGCUUGAGAUUCCUUCUACACUGCCAAUUGCUUAGCUUGACAGUAUUUUUGGGCAUCUGAGCCCAGUUUCAGCCACCAGAAAGAAAGCUUAAGAGCGGUCAUGAUGAAAACAAAUUCUCCUCAUUUCCUUAUACCUACCAGCAAAGCCAAGAGAAACCCUACUAGAUGUGUAUUACUUUGAAUGUUACCCAUGUAGCAGGCACCUGUACAAGUUUCACUGCACUUUUUUUCCCCCUGGGCUAAGUGAUUGUGGCUGCAAUUGUGGGAGGACACAGAUUUUGUUUACGAAUAUUUUUCCAAAUCUAUAUAACACUAUUUAAAAUGCUUCUAAUUUAUACUUUUUCUCAGUUCUCUUGCCAGAUUGGACUUCAGAGCACCCACAGAUCUUGACUUCUUGCCACCUCAUUAUAAACAGUAUUAUUCUAUGAGAAAUGUAGCCCCACAUGCCUACAAUGAGAACUGCUAUUAAAUGAUGCUUAAAUGAGUCACUUCCUGAAACAACUACAUCACUCUCUCUCCAUCUGAGGUUCUAGUUCACAUUCCUUUUGCUCCAUUCAACCCAACAGCUCAUAAUGUUACUGCCACAGGUUCUUUUAGUGACUUCACUUUGGUCUUAUGCACAUGGAGAAAUAACUAUCACCCAAACUCCGGAGUUCUCCAUCAAAAGGGAAAAUGCUACUGUACGUAUGUAUUGCGUUCUCCAGGGCAUCUCUGAAAAUAUUGCCAGUGCCAUCAUUCACUUGUAUCAUCAAAGCCCUGGUGAAGCUCCAAAGAGAGUUCUGUUCUUCACAUCAGGAAAAUCCACUUUUGAUGACAACUCUCAGGCAAAGAAUUUUCAAGUUACAAUAGAUCCUCAAAAAUCCCGCUAUACUUUCUAUGUAAAUAGUAUAAAGAAAAUGGAUGCCGGUGUCUACUACUGUGCUUACUGGAACAUCCACAGUGUUAGAAAACCAUGAAUAACCUGUACAAAAACUCACUCCUCAUUUUCAACCAUAUUGUUAUAACCAUAUGAAACCACA